ACACAUGCAGUCGAGCGGUAACAUUUCUAGCUUGCUAGAAGAUGACGAGCGGCGGACGGGUGAGUAAUACUUAGGAAUCUACCUAGUAGUGGGGGAUAGCACGGGGAAACUCGUAUUAAUACCGCAUACGACCUACGGGAGAAAGGGGGCAGUUUACUGCUCUCGCUAUUAGAUGAGCCUAAGUCGGAUUAGCUAGAUGGUAGGGUAAAGGCCUACCAUGGCGACGAUCUGUAGCUGGUCUGAGAGGAUGAUCAGCCACACCGGGACUGAGACACGGCCCGGACUCCUACGGGAGGCAGCAGUGGGGAAUAUUGGACAAUGGGGGCAACCCUGAUCCAGCCAUGCCGCGUGUGUGAAGAAGGCCUUUUGGUUGUAAAGCACUUUAAGCAGUGAAGAAGACUCCAUGGUUAAUACCCAUGGACGAUGACAUUAGCUGCAGAAUAAGCACCGGCUAACUCUGUGCCAGCAGCCGCGGUAAUACAGAGGGUGCAAGCGUUAAUCGGAAUUACUGGGCGUAAAGGGAGCGUAGGUGGCUCGAUAAGUCAGAUGUGAAAUCCCCGGGCUCAACCUGGGAACUGCAUCUGAUACUGUUGAGCUAGAGUAUGUGAGAGGAAGGUAGAAUUCCAGGUGUAGCGGUGAAAUGCGUAGAGAUCUGGAGGAAUACCGAUGGCGAAGGCAGCCUUCUGGCAUAAUACUGACACUGAGGCUCGAAAGCGUGGGUAGCAAACAGGAUUAGAUACCCUGGUAGUCCACGCCGUAAACGAUGUCUACUAGUCGUUGGGUCCCUUGAGGACUUAGUGACGCAGCUAACGCAAUAAGUAGACCGCCUGGGGAGUACGGCCGCAAGGUUAAAACUCAAUGAAUUGACGGGGGCCCGCACAAGCGGUGGAGCAUGUGGUUUAAUUCGAUGCAACGCGAAGAACCCUUACCUGGUCUUGACAUAUCUA
rnacentral:rRNA from 1 species